rnacentral:rRNA from 1 species
CAGCAGCCGCGGUAAUACGUAGGUGGCGAGCGUUAUCCUGAAUUACUGGGCGUAAAGGGUGUGUAGGUGGCUGCCAUAGUCGGGCGUGAAAUCCCGGGGCUUAACCUCGGGUUUGCGUUCGAUACUUGGUGGCUGGAGUGCGGGAGAGGGAAGUGGAAUUCCCGGUGUAGCGGUGAAAUGCGUAGAUAUCGGGAGGAACGCCGGUGGCGAAGGCGGCUUCCUGGCCCGUUACUGACGCUGAGGCACGAAAGCCAGGGGAGCGAACCGGAUUAGAUACCCGGGUAGUCCUGGCUGUAAACCAUGGGCGCUAGGUGUGGGUGGUGGUGAGCCAUCUGUGCCGAAGCUAACGCGUUAAGCGCCCCGCCUGGGGAGUACGGUCGCAAGGCUGAAACUUAAAGGAAUUGGCGGG